UUGAUAGCUGUCACAGGUAUAACAUUCACUUUAUCCAACUGAAGAAUUCCUCUGAAAUAGAAAAAUUCCAAUGAAACAUUUGCACUGUCUGUAGUUUGGGAGGAAGACAGGGAUACUUCAUGGUUGUAGUGUUUUCUUCUGGCCUAGAUAAGGGCACCAGGAAAGUUACUGGCACACUGAGAGUGCUGUGAACCGCAACAGUGUGGGGGCCUCCGUCAGAAGUGAGCGAAGCAGCCUGUGGGACAGGUGAGAGUCGAGGGCGAGCACUAUAGUUACCAGUAUACAUUUCUGUCAAUACACAGCAUUUGGAUGAAGAUGCCACCCAACAGUUAACACUGAGGACCUCCAGGAACAUAAACUGAACGGGGAAGUGACAGCUGCUUUAACUGCUCUCUGCGUGUCUGCACUGAUGGAAUCUCUGACUACCAGAGAGCAUCCUCAGUACAGCUGCCAUUGAUAAAGUACAUUGCAAAUCUGGUUUUUAAUUUGGUUUUUACACUGCAUCUUUUCCCACAGAGGAACCCAUAACAAAUAAAAACAUUUGGUAAAAGAAAAAUAAAAAAGUUUAUAACA